AUGAGGGAUCUGGAGGAGUUCCGGGGCUCGUCGGCGGGGCCGCCGCGGAACAAUGGCGGCGGCGGCAGCGGGGGGUCGUCGGCGGUGACCACGCCGUCGUGGUGGGCGGGCGACCCGGAGGCCAAGAGGCGGAGGAGGGUGGCCGCCUACAAGGCCUACGCCGUGGAGGCCAGGGUCAAGGCGUCGCUCCGCCGCGGCCUCCGCUGGAUCAAGGACCGCCGCACCGGCAUCGUCCACCACCGCCGGUGA
rnacentral:rRNA from 1 species